CCUUUUUCCUGGAUGUCUCUCUGCCUCCCAUAGUCCUGCUUCCAUGUAGUUGUGACUCUUCCUAAUACAAAUCUAUGGGAUACAUUCCUGACUCUACUGAGAUAAGUGGGUGCUGAGUAGAUAAUUACAUUCUUUGGUAUAAAAUAUCUAAAAGACAAACACACUCUCAUUUGCUAAGGGAUAAAAUCAAUAGAUCUCUAUUUACCAGGAACCGUGCUAAUCACUUUGCACUUUGCAUAUAUUAUCUCAUUUAAAGUUCAUGAGACCUAUGAGUUGUGUUAUCAUUUGCCUGAUGAUUUCACAGAGUAGGAAGGUAAGACACAUCGAGUCACACAGGAAGUUGCACAACUGAGUAGUAGAGAAUUCAGAAUCUCAACCCGAGCUGCCAAAUUCUUGAGCUGACAUACAGUAAGGUGUAGAGUACUGUCAAGAGGCUUGAGGGAGCUAAGGCCGGCAAAGCACUAAAAACACCACCUGGCACAUGCGGAGGCCCAACGCAAAGGGGAACAGAACCAACUGUGAGGAAGGAGAGAAGAGGUGGGCCUUGCCAUCUGCUCAUUAUUCAGAGAGUGUGUACAUAGAUGGAAGUUGAGGCUGCCCCAUCCCUGUUCACUUGCUGAGCUCCAAUUUACAUUGUUGUGAAGUACCGCAGUGCCCUCAGGACCAAGCAGAAUGAACCACUCCUUGCCUGUGCACUCCACAGAACAUUUACUUGAUUGCCUUGCCAACGCCUUGUUGCUGUAAUGGGAUCUUUGGCUUGUCUGCUCCAAGAGCAAGAAUCCUGAUAGAAAGGGAAUCAGGCAGAGAGAGAAAGAGUGAGAGAGUGUCACACCUGGCUCUGCCGCUUCUCCAGGGCUGAAGGGGAAAUAAGUCCUGAUUGCCAGCGGCUGGAUGUUCUCCUCCCAGAAAGAAUCUUACUCUGAUGCCCAGGCUGGAGUGUAGUGGCGUGAUCUCGGCUCACCGCAACCUCUGCCUCCCGGUUCAAGCAAUUCUCGUGCAUCAGCCUCCUGAGUAACUGUGAUUACAGGUGUGCGACACCACGCCUGGCUAAUUUUUGUAUAUUUUGUAGAGACUGGGUUCCAUCAUGUGGUCUGCUGGUCUCAAACUUCUGAGCUCAAGCUAUCCUCCUGCCUCAGCCUCCCAAAGCGCUGGGAUUACAGGGACGAGCCACCGCACACAGCUAAAUUCUUUACUACUCUUCUCUCAGGAGGUGGAAUUUAAAUUCCCUCCCCUUGAAUGUGGGCUGGACUUACUGCCCCUCUUUUAAGGGGUAGGGUGUGGAAAGGGAAGCACAGUGAGUUUAUAGUGGAGAAACCUGGAUGAUAACACCAUUUCUGAGUCAAGGUUGAUAUCAUCAGUAAGAAGUCAUGUUGCUCUCACAUACACUCUGAUAUAAUGUGAUGAGAAGGGCACAACCUCUCAGUAAAAUUCUUCCCUAAAAUCCAUAACCUAGGAUUUAUCAUGAGAAAACAUCAGGCAAACACAAAUUGAGGAAUAUUCCACAAAAUACCUGACCAAUACUCUUCAAAAGUAUCAGGGUGCAGAAAAACAAGAAAAGGCUGAGAAACUAAGCACAGGUUUUAAUGGACUAAGGAGAUGAGACACCUGACCACAAUGUGGGAUUCUGAACUGGAUGCUGGAAUAGAAAAAGGACACUAGUGGAAAUGGUGAAAUCUGAAUAA